UAAGCUCUGCUUUGUUGGUUAGAGUCUUAACUACUCUCUCUAUCAAAAAAGCUAAGGGAGUCCGAAUUUCUUCACACUGCGAGUGGUGAAGGUGAGGACACCCACACUGCAAAAAAAGGGGUGACAGUACAUUAGGAUAGCGACGGCAUUAGUGGAGCAGUA
rnacentral:other from 1 species